AGGUAAGCUACUAAGAGCGAAUGGUGGAUGCCUUGACUGGUAAAGGCGAUGAAGGACGUACUAGACUGCGAUAAGCUACGGGGAGCUGUCAAGAAGCUUUGAUCCGUAGAUUUCCGAAUGGGGCAACCCAAUGUAUAGAGAUAUACAUUACCUAUAUAGGAGCGAACGAGGGGAAUUGAAACAUCUUAGUACCCUCAGGAAAAGAAAUCAAUAGAGAUUGCGUCAGUAGCGGCGAGCGAAAGCGCAAGAGGGCAAACCCAGUGCUUGCACUGGGGGUUGUAGGACUGCAAUGUGCAAGAGGUAAGUUUAGCAGAACAUUCUGGAAAGUAUAACCAUAGAGGGUGAUAGUCCCGUAUGCGAAAAACAAACCUUAGCUAGCAGUAUCCUGAGUAGGGCGGGACACGAGGAAUCCUGUCUGAAUCCGGGUCGACCACGAUCCAACCCUAAAUACUAAUACCAGAUCGAUAGUGCACAAGUACCGUGAGGGAAAGGUGAAAAGAACUGAGGUGAUCAGAGUGAAAUAGAACCUGAAACCAU
rnacentral:rRNA from 1 species